UACAGAGGGUGCGAGCGUUAAUCGGAAUUACUGGGCGUAAAGGGCUCGUAGGCGGCCAACUAAGUCAGACGUGAAAUCCCUCAGCUUAACUGGGGAACUGCGUCUGAUACUGGAUGGCUUGGAUUCGGGAGAGGAAUGCGGAAUUCCAGGUGUAGCGGUGAAAUGCGUAGAUAUCAAGUGGAACACCAGUGGCGAAGGCGAGUCUCUGGACAUUUCCUGACGCUGAGGCACGAAAGCCAGGGGAGCAAACGGG
rnacentral:rRNA from 1 species